GAACGAGGCCGCAAGGCCUAGUGGCGGACGGGUGAGUAACACGUGACCAACCAACCUCGAAGUUGGGAAUAGCUCUGCGAAAGCAGGGGUAAUACCGAAUGUGGCCCGGAGCGGACAUCCGCACCGGUCUAAAGAUUUAUCGCUUCGAGACGGGGUCGCGGCCUAUUAGCUUGUUGGUGGGGUAACGGCCUACCAAGGCGAUGAUGGGUAGCUGGUCUGAGAGGACGACCAGCCACACUGGGACUGAGACACGGCCCAGACUCCUACGGGAGGCAGCAGUGAGGAAUCUUCCGCAAUGGGCGAAAGCCUGACGGAGCAACGCCGCGUGUGGGAUGAAGACUUUAGGGUUGUAAACCACUGUCGGAGGGGACGAUCGUGACGGUACCCUCCAAGAAAGCCCCGGCUAACUACGUG
rnacentral:rRNA from 1 species